UGAUGCUCCCCUUGUAGUUCUUUGAAUAAUUUAAAAAUUAUUGCUUUAACGAAUGAUCUAAAUUUGAGAAUUUGAAUUUGAGAGGAAAUAGUGCAAAAUAAAUGCGUGGAGAGAUCAUGGAAUCCCCAAAUGGUUUGAUUGGCCUCCUUGUUUCCUCCUUGUCCAGGCUCUAGAUGAAGUCCUUCCUUUCCCAAGGGAGGGGAAAGGCAGCAGGAUGUGAACCAGAGGUGGUGCUUUAGGAAAGCCCCUCCAGCCUGGGAAGGAGCUUUUGGCUCCAGACUCGUUCCCAGUCCCCAGGAGCAGCAGGACCUGUGCUGCUCCCAGCAGAGAAAAACGGCCAAAGAAUAAAGCAAGAGCUUCCCUCAGUGAAAACCUUCCCCGUCCCAUGCUGGGUUUGCACACACACAGGGCUCAAUCCCUGCUGGAAUCCCAGUCACAGCCCCCAGAUCAGUGUGCACUUUAAAGUCUCACAGCCUGACCAGGACAAUCUCCUGCUUCUGGACAUGGAAAAUUGGUUUUUCAUUCUUACAGCACCAGCUCAAGAGAAUCCUCUAAGGCUGAAACAAAGACAAGGAACCUUUUGAGACAAAAAGAGCCAGAGCAAGUUGUUGUGGGAAAGGAAAGUUAA